rnacentral:siRNA from 1 species
AGAAACGGCUACCACAUCCAA